UUUAUUUUUUUGUAUGUUUUUUAUAUUAUCAGGUAUGAUUCAUGCAGGCAUAGGAGAAACACAGCUGAAUAAUUUGCUAGCUGCCAUGAAUGUCCAUUGUCCUCAUCAUAAGUCACUAAAGUCAAGAUAAAAUGAAGUUGGAGACAUAAUAGAGUGUCAGGCAAAUGCUUCAGAAAGGAAGUUUUUACUUGACGAAGCUUUCCAGUCCAUGACCAUUGAUGCAGAAGGUAAUGAACAAGCAGGUAUUAAUGCAUCCACAGACACUUGUUGGCAGAAGAAAGGUUCUGGAAGGGCUUACAAUAGUUUGUCAGGCUAGUGAAGCAGCUGGAUUGUCACCUGGGAAUGAGACUAUCAAGAGGGCUAUACGAUUGAAUAGAAAGAGGAAUAAAAAAUCUGAAAGAGACAAAACAAAGCAGCACAAAAAAGAAGAAUCAAUCUAAAAAAAGAAAGAUCAGGAAAAAGUACCGGUGUUGAAAUAAGAGAAGGAAGAACUUAUGAAAGUGAAAUAGGUACAUCCUUAACUUUUUAAAUUGUCUUGGAAUUUAAACUUUGACUUCAUUUAACUUAUUGCAAAGGAGAAGGUCCGGUAAGGUCUAGUUUUGGCCUAAAAUUCGAAGUACAUCUGAUGAAAGAGUUUUUACAUUUUUCAAACACUUAAGUGUCUACUUCAGUCGAUUCAAUUAGUUUAUGUAAAAUAUUUGAACUGAU